UACGUAGGGGGCAAGCGUUGUCCGGAAUUAUUGGGCGUAAAGGGCGCGUAGGCGGCCAAGCAAGUCCUGGGUGAAAUCCCUCGGCUCAACCGAGGAACUGCCUCGGAAACUGCAUGGCUCGAGGCCGGGAGAGGGUAGCGGAAUUCCCAGUGUAGCGGUGAAAUGCGCAGAUAUCAGGAAGAACACCCGUGGCGAAGGCGGCUCUCUGGAACGCAACUGACGCUGAGACGCGAAAGCGUGGGGAGCAAACAGG
rnacentral:rRNA from 1 species